AACUGUCCGUUUUCGGGUGUUUUCUCGCUGCCCGGGGCGUCUCGUCCUCGGUUCGGGGUGGAGGGGAAAGGGCAGCGCUCGUGUAGCCGCACCGGCGUGUUGGGCUGGGGCUUGGCUGAGCGGGCGUCUCCUUAGGUAGAGAAACUCAAGGUGCCCUUGAAAGCAAGAACCGAAGGAUGGAGUUAAAAAAAAAAAAAGAAAAAUCAAGGUGAAAUUAUCUUAUCUCAGCUCAGGAUUUGAUCUGACUGGGUCAGAAGUAUCAGCCAGGCCUAAUCUAACUUAAAUAGGAGAGCGCUUAUGGAAAAACACGUAUUUUCUCCCAGGACAGACACCCUUGUGCCUUAAGCUCGCUCUGAUUUCAGACUUACUGUGUUAACUCGCCUUUGGCGUUCGGAGACUUCUUCUACCAUUGACCUUUUUCUCUUCAGACCAGGGUCUAGCCCACAAGUACACGAUCAUCAGUUAUAACAAUCUGUGCACCAGGUACAUCUCAUUAUCCACCCAUCUCCUGACCAGCCCCUCUCAUCUUGCCACGUGCCUCUGAAGGCUGACCGUAGUGUGCGGAGCGAGAAGAAAACCUUCCUGUAACCGCACAACAAGCACCAGUUUGAAGGAAAGCGGCCGGACCCGCUCUGGCUGUGGGGGAGAGCUGGGCUCUCUGCCUUCCCGGCAGGAGGGGACGCAGCAGGGCCGUCACCGGUGCCUUGCUGGGCUGGUGCAGGAGACGGAGGAAUAGGUGACUGAAUAGGCGGUAGAAUAUGGCUGGACAAAUAUCAGAAUCUGAUCAGAUCAAGCAGUUCAAGGAGUUUCUUGGAACAUACAAUAAACUUACAGAAAACUGCUUCCUGGAUUGCAUAAAGGAUUUCACUAGCCGAGAGGUUAAACCAGAAGAGAUGACUUGCUCAGACCACUGCCUACAGAAGUAUUUAAAAAUGACACAAAGGAUCUCCAUGAGAUUUCAGGAGUACCAUAUUCAGCAGAACGAAGCUCUGGCAGCUAAAGCAGGACUGCUUGGCCAGCCUCGUUAGACAAGAGCACUCUGUUCAGACUUUACAAGCAGUGCCAGCGUUCAUUGGGCAAGAACACAUUCUGGAUUUUCUACUGUUGGCAUGUAUGUCUGGCAACUCAGAAGAGACUUCUGGAUGCUGUUCAGACAGUGGAAACCAUGAAGGGUUAAAAAAGAAGUUAGUCAUAAUGGAUGGGCAAUGGAGUCUGUUUCUGAGGUCCUUUUCACUCUACAAUGGAGUAAUAUUGAUACAAACUUUUCCAGGGCCCACAGACUGGGAACCCCAGGGGUCCUCCAAACCCAGCUUCCUUGCCUGAUGCAAGCAUGAUGCGCUCCAAGCACUGAGCUUGAUGGCAGUUUUCUCCUUUAAUUGUGUGGAUGCCAAUUGUGUGAAUGCCAACAGAAAGUACAAGAUCCUGCCCUUCCUAGGAGAUAGAACUGGGGACCCUCUUCCCCUCUUUCUCUGCCCGAGGAUGUGUUGAAUUUCUGUGCGUGCUGCUGCCCCGACACCUGCCAGGAACUCUCUUUCGGGUCAUGGCUGAGGGAAGAGGGCUUCAAGCCUCCUUUGCAGCGAGGCACACUCUGACCACCUCAUCGGUAGGAAAGGGGUGUCAGCCGCCUCUCCUGCCGUGCUUUUGCGUGGGUCCUUGCUUACAUCUCCGGGAGAAAGUCCCUCAGCGCCCCGUGGAAGCCAUGGAUCCCCCAGGGACGGCGGCGGGACCUGAGGAGAAGAGCUGCAGGACUUCAGCCCUGCCACCUUCUCCCCCGGGGCCCUCCGGCUCUUCCAGCCCUUCCC